rnacentral:rRNA from 1 species
ACGCUCGACACCUACGGGAGGCAGCAGUGGGGAAUAUUGCACAAUGGGGGAAACCCUGAUGCAGCGACGCCGCGUGAGCGAAGAAGUAUCUCGGUAUGUAAAGCUCUAUCAGCAGGGAAGAAGAUGACGGUACCUGACUAAGAAGCACCGGCUAAAUACGUGCCUGCAGCCGCGGUAAUCUGAGCGGGCUGGCAAGGC